GCUGGUGUGGCUCAGUCGGUAGAGCAGCUGAUUCGUAAUCAGCAGGUCGCCGGUUCAAGUCCGGCCACCAGCUCCA
rnacentral:tRNA from 3 species